UUUGCUAUGAUGAGGAGCUAACAUGUAAGAAUACCCCUUCAUAAGGGUUAUUUCAAUGAAAUAUACUUGUUACGCUUGGCUUCUGAGUUCU